rnacentral:misc_RNA from 1 species
GGCUUCAUAUUACAUCCCCAAAGGCUAUACUAAUAGAGAAAAGAUCUAUUAAGAAGCUGUUGGAUAAAGUUGGUGACACUGAUCCUACCAAAAAGAAGAUCUUAAAAUAUUUUUUGUAUCUGUUGAAGAAGUAUGGAGACUUGAUUAUGGAAGAGCAAAUAGAGAAUCCCAAAGCUGAGCAUGAGGGAUCAGUUGCACGGACAAACUCUACCAAUACUUCUGUAUAUAGCCAAUCUGUUGAAGAAGUAGAGUCUGAUAUAGGAAUUCAGCAGUAUGAGGUGCAAACUGAUGUUCUAAGUAGAGAUACACCCCCUGAGGAGUUUAAGUGCCCCA